GCAAGUCGAGCGGUAGAUUUUCUAGCUUGCUAGAAAAUUGAGAGCGGCGAACGGGUGAGUAACACGUUGGUAUCUGCCCCCAAGUCAGGGAUAGCCAUUGGAAACGAUGAUUAAUACCGGAUAGUCUCUUCGGAGUAAAGAUUUAUUGCUUGGGGAGGAGCCUGCGUUCUAUCAGCUUGUUGGUAGUGUAAUAGACUACCAAGGCUAUGACGGAUAACUGGUCUGAGAGGAUGAUC
rnacentral:rRNA from 1 species